UACGGAGGGUGCAAGCGUUAAUCGGAAUUACUGGGCGUAAAGCGAGCGCAGGCGGUUUGAUAAGUCAGAAGUAAAAGGCUGUGGCUCAACCAUAGUACGCUUUUGAAACUGUCAAACUUGAGUGCAGAAGGGGGGAGUGGAAUUCCAUGUGUAGCGGUGAAAUGCGUAGAUAUAUGGAGGAACACCGGUGGCGAAAGCGGCUCUCUGGUCUGUAACUGACGCUGAGGCUCGAAAGCGUGGGGAGCGAACAGG
rnacentral:rRNA from 1 species